rnacentral:lncRNA from 1 species
AUAAUAAUAAUAAUCAUGUUUCCAUAAAAUUGCUAAGUCCAGAGAUAAUACAUAAACAUAGUAGACUGUUCAUGACACAUAUCACGGUGGACAGUGUUUGUGUCCUUAUUACAAGCAACGAGAGAUGCUCGUCACCAACACGCGCGCGCACAGAUGCACGACAUACAUAUAGUAGAGACCAACAGAUGGUCGUCCCAUAUGGUGAACAAUUUAUUGGAGAUAAAUAUUAACGUAACUUGGCCAUAGCUUGAAGCAUAGCAACAUAUGCCUAUGAGUGGCAUUCAUGCUAUCGUUUUAGGCUUGUCCAGCUCCUUCCAUCUUAGCAAGCACUUCCAUUUCUACCAUCUUAGCAGCAACUGUCAAAUUGAGAUACGGAAAUCCCAUUAGCGCAUGAGUUAAUUUUGCAGUGGAAAUAGAGUACAAGAUGUCUUCAUGAUGUAAGUAAUAUGCCUGAAGUUGUGAGAUGGGAAGUGAAGUCAACAAAUUACAUUAACGGAAAUGCAUGGAAGGCCACACAUACGUAUUAGUCCAUGAUAUGCUACAAAGCUUGUAUGUACAUAUAGCAAAUUAAAUGCAUUAAUUGAAUAGAGUGUGUUUAGUGAAUUUACCAGAAUCGUCCAGAAAACAUGGGAAACAGCAAGUGUUCUUGCAGACUGCGUCGGAGGCACCCGCACGAAUACAAAGCUGACAACAUAGUUUUGCCUGGGCGGAUGCGCAGCAGCCGCACUCCGCCGCGGUGGGGUUAACAUUGAGGCUCAAGAUGACCAGGCACAUGAUCACCAUCAAAGUGGUAGUCCUCUUUCCCUCCAUUGCCUCCUCUUAGCUUGCUGCUACCUUCCUUGGUUACCUAGCUAAGUUUAUUGGUUUUGUGUUGAGAGGUGUGAUUCUUGAAUGGACGUUGCCGGCGGCAAUUUAUAGGCAGCUGAGCUAUGUGAUGAUAUGGACUAGGUGCAAAUGGGUGGUUAAUGGCAAGGAAAGGGGCGUCAGACAAAGCCCAAUGGCAACUGCUGACAUGCGAUUAAAUUCAGAUCCACAUCCGGCCAUUCAAUAAUACGGUUGGAGUUGUGGCACAGAUAUAUUAUUGCAUGAUCAUCAAGAUAAGAUCGUACAGUGACUGAGUGAGACAAUAAAUAGCCAAGUAAACUAUUUUAUCCUGCUGCAAGCUGCAUUCAUAAGUUUAUUUCACCUUUGAUCACAAUACUCUUCACACACGUACGUCUCAGGGAGAUCUCACUUCCGCUGGACUGCUCACUUCCGCUGUCGUCGGUACUGCCAAAGACAUAAGCUCACAUCUGCUAUUGCGGAGCAGGCCAAUUUGCUGCGGAACUUCGGCGACGACCUGAAGGACAUGAACUCGGUGCUGGAGUCCAUCUCAGCAGCGCUCUAGGACGCUGACACCGGUAGAAAAACGACCUUCCAUCGUCAACAAAAAUCCCGGUAGCUUUUUUACUCGGUACUAAAGAGGUUUUAAUCUCGUGCAAACACCUUUAGUCCGGAUUGCUGUUACCACGCAACCCGAACUAAAGCGUCCCCCACGAGUUACUAUAUAAGGAUUGCAUCCUUUACUCAGUCAGAUAUAAUGUGUAGGUGAGAUGGUAAGGAAGCUAUACGUGAGGCUUCAGGUUGUGGGUUCGAAUCCAAGGAGAAGUGGGUGCAGCUGUGGCUUAAGCGGCUGAGGCACGCCGCCAUAGACAUCUCAGAUUUGCUCGAAGACUACCAAGACACUAGUGAACCCUUAACAGUAAAGGUGAGUACUUAUGAAUGUCAGCAUCCAUGUUGUCCAUGCUUCCAAUGUAAUAACAAGAUGGACUACUCUUCCUAGCGGACUCUUCACAACCACUCGUAAAGCUAUACGUUUCUCAAUGCAAUUUCGUAGAAGCCAAUCGAUCCAACCAAGUGACUAAAUCAUUCAUCCUUUCCAAUGAUGUGCAUCAGGUUUUCUACAUGAAGGGCAUCUCUAGCAAACCCAAGAUUUCAGAAGAAAAAGAAAAAUCAUUGGAGCCAAAGAGCCACAUAGUUCUUCCAGGAAAAAAAAAUCAUGGGAGUCGAGAACAAAUCAAACCAAUCAGAGGAUUAUGGUCAGCUUAAUGGCAUGCCUCCAUUCGAUGUCGAAGUUCACCCAAGCAUCAUGUUAGCCAAACAUCAAAUGUUCGUGCGUUGUUACGGUAAAGAUCAAUUGUGUUUUUUAAACUCAUGGAAUUUUUUUUCUAAGUUUUUAUUACACUUAUUGGAUGUCUACACAUUUGCUAGAAAACCAAAAUAAUUUGGACUUAAUUAUUUCUUUCAACUGAAGUACUCACUAAAUUUCUACCUUUUUAUUUAAGCAAGAGAGUUGCUAAAAAAAAUGGAUACAUAACCAUGUUGUAUCGUACAAAGCAACCACAUUUCACAUAUAGUCCGGCUUACCAAACACCAUUUUUUACUGAACAUAGCGUACAUGAGUUAAGAGACAUGGAUUUAUUUCUAUUGCAAGUAGCAUAGCGUACAACCUGCCUGCACCGAUGCAGCUCAAUAUGCGAUAAUUUUUAUCUUCCCAUGUAAUUUUUCUACUCUAGUACAUAUUGAACUCCACAUUAAUGUCAUGUUCUUUGGCGCCCCAGACGGUUCCUAAAGUUUGGAAACAAAAUAGAUAGCCAGAAAUUUUUUUAAAAAAUAUUUAUAUGGAUAUUUGUAUGUUCUUUGCAAACUAACAAUAUUGUUUACCAAUAUCAAAAGGAAUAUGGCUAGGAGCCAUUGCCGCAUAUGGCAGGUGAUGGUAGAUGGCGUAUGGGAUUUCGUUAAUUUAAUGGUAUAAUAAGCUGAAAUACAUUUUCUAUUUGCAAAUGAAUCAUAGCUGAAAGUGGUGAGAUUGUUUUUUCGCCGGUUUAGCAUCCUGUGCACCGGUUCAACUGGAGGGAAGCGGUUCACCGAGACGGAUGACAAUUUUACGGCAGAAUCAUUACUUGUUUUAUUAUUAGGUGAAGAUUUUAGCUUUUAGGUAUCUCACAUUAACAAUCUGUUUCUAGUGUAUAAUGUAGGAGACCCGUAAAGAGUCUACACACACAUAUAUAUGUUGACUAUGAAUGUAAGUUUGUUGGUUUUAUGUAUGUUCAUUUGGAGUUUAUAUAAAUUUUACAUUUUAUAGUUUUGUGUAUAUGACGAAGAUCCAUGACUUGCAUUAAUUUAACCUUUCUUCCAACAACUCUUAUGCAUGCUGUUUCUAGGGGAGCGCACUGGUUGCAAUUUUGGUCCCCGAUAUAGCAUGAGGACUUAAGGGAGACGGGCACGUCGUAACCUUAGAUAUUUUUGCAAGAAGCAAAUUAUACUUUGCUUUUGAUUUUCUCCAUGCCAUUUGCUGACUCUUAUCCCUUUUAUUUAUCAUUAUAAGAUGAAAAUAUUGUAAAAACUUGGUUACGUGCGGUCGCAGAAGCUAGAGACUAUUUCUUUUUUUAAAAAUACGCAAGAGGGAGAAACUUGGUAACAGCUAGACAGUGAAGAUCGCAUUUCAUAAGAAAGAUGGUGCACGUUCUUGUUUGGCUGUUAACGAAAUGACUUCGUUUCACCACACCACCAGAGAGCCCCAUUGCACUUGCAGCAAAAGCGUGGAGCCGCUUUCAACCAGCGUGCAAUAAUGCAGUCCCGCGUGUCUUGGUCUUACAGGAUAUUUGGUUCUUUAGUCCGGACUAAAAUUCAUGUCGCAUAGAAUAUUCAGAUGUUAAAUAGGAGGACUAAACAUGAGCUAAUUAUAAAAAUAAUUACACAAAUGGAGGCUAAUUCCCAAGACAAAUCUAUUAAGUCUAAUUAAUCCAUCAUUAGCACAUGUUUACCGUAGCACCGUAUUGUCAAAUCAUGGACUAAUUAGGCUUAAUAAAUUCGUCUCGCAAGUUAGUCUCCAUCUAUACAAUUUGUUUUAUAAUUAGUCAAUGUUUAAUACUCUAUCUAAACAUUCAAUGUGACUGAAAUUUUAGGAGGUCCUAAAGAACCAAACACCCCUUAGUCUCCGCCUGAACUAUAGCAGGUGCUGGCAGCGGUAGCAGGGUCGUCCAUUAUAUCUAUGGAUGGAAAUGAUCUGAUUCGGAUGGAAUCGAAUUCGAAUAGCACUUUUUACCACAUACUAAUCUGAAUUGGAUGUUCUCGAAUGUGAAUGCAAAACGGAUAGUUCAAAUUUGAAUACUUUGCGGAUUUUUGCAUAAUAUUAAUCGAAGAGAAUUUGUUAAAUUUAGCCGAGACAUAAAUUUUUCUAAAUUCAAAUACUUUGCAGAUUUUCGAAUGCAAAUUUUUUCAUACGAUCUCGGUUGAAUACAAACUUUAUAUCAAAGUUGUAUAUUUAGAUUAUAUAUAAAACUUUGUAGUUGACCUCCUUUUCAUUUAAAAUUUUUUAAUAGCUCAAAACAUUAUUCUAAGCUUUCUAAUUUCAAAAUCUUGAAUUUUAAAUUUUUCAAACGACCUCGGAUGCAAACAAGCUCUAUAUCAAAGUGCUUAAUGAGAUAUAAAAUUUUGUAGUUGACAAGUUUUUUAGUUGAAAACAUUUAGUUAUCACAAACAUACAAGUUCUUCAUUUGAUGUCGAGGAUUGGAAGUGUUGAGUUUGAAGAAUAUAUUCUUUGAUUACAAACUUUUCCAUAUGAUCUUGGAUGAAUACGAACUUUAUUUCAAAGUUGCAAAUUUAGAUUAGACCAAAAACAGUAUAGUUUACAAUUUUUUCAUUCAAAAUUAUUUAGUAGCUCAAAAUGUUAUUCUAAACUCUCUAAUUUUGAAAUCUUGAAUUUUAAAAUUUUCAAAUGACCUCGGAUGCAAACAAGCUCUAUAUCGAAGUGGUAGUUCUUAAUGAGAUAUAAAAUUUUGUAGUUCCAUCUGAGAUCAUUUAACAGUCACAAAUAUACAAGUUUUUCAUAUGAUGCUAAGGAUCAGAAAGAUUAAGUUUGAAGGCUGUAUUUUUUUAAUACAAAUUUUUGCAUACGAUCUCGGAUGAAUACAAACUUUAUAUCAAAAUUGUAGAGCUCGAUGAGAAUUUAAACUUUGUAGUUGAUAUAUUUUUCAUUCGAGAAUGUUUAGUGGUCCAAACAUGUAUUAUAAGUUCAGAGAAGAAACACACAAUCGGCCACGUCAUCAAUUGACAACUUCCAAACUGAGCAUUCCUAUUGGUUCACACCUUUCCCUUUCAACUCGUCAAGCUUAUCUCCUCCCACUCCUCCAUCGUUCACUCCCCCUUCCCCUUCCUCUCUCCCUCCCUCCCUCCGCUCCAGCAGUGGCAGCCCGACCUGCCUCCUAGGACGGUGGUGUGCGGGGCUCGGGCAUCCCUGGCCUCUAGUGGCGUGGCAGGGCGGCCUCCAGCAGCGAUGGCGGAACUCGGCCUCCGGUGGCGCACAGGCAGCGCAGCCUACCUGGUCAAAGGCGGCGCAACAGGGCGACCUCCCCAGCCUCCGGCGGCGCGCAGGGCAUCCAUGACCUCCCCGGCCUCCCUUGCCAGAGGUGGUGCGCGGGGCUGCGCCGACCUCCCCAACCAGAGGUGGCAAGGCCCCAGCUUACGGCGGCGCGUGGCUCCCCAGCUAGGGUGUGGUGGGGCGGCGGCAAGUCAGGCGUGGCCGCGUGGGGGUGGGGGGAGGGGGUUGGGCUGGGCGGAUUCAGAUAGUAUCCAUUUAACCAUCCGAAAUGUGGAUAUCCGUUUAACAAUCCGUUUAGCAAAACCGAAUUUGGAUACUUCCACUUAAGUAUCCAACUAGGAUUCGAAUGCGGAUGGUCCUACCAUAUUGUUAUUUCAGCGGAUACGAAUAUGGGAUAAUUCGAAUAACGACUUACCCAUCCCUGAUUAUAUCCGUGUAAAUAAAUAAUUGCGGCAGCAGGUUCCCGUCGCCACGCCCCCGUCAAACCAAACAAUUGCUUGCGCGACACCGUGUUACUAGAUCUUGUACAGUACUCCCUCCGUUGCAGUACUCCCUAAUGAAAGUUGAGAAUCGAUCGACAACCACGGCUAGUUGCUAUGCACUCGAUCAGAUGGUCCAGGCGCCCGCUGGUAAUCAGGUCGUGGUUCACGCGCAUCAGGCCAGCUAUGACGUUGCCAGCAGUGCUCAGUACACAAAUCUAGCUAUCAGUCGGAUCCAAUUGGGCAGGCAUUUGCACUGUGGUUGUGUUUGAACCUGUAGAUGUCGUUGUCAUUAUCAGGCACCAUACAUCCUCUCUCAGAGGGUGUUUCACCCCCUAAACUUUAGCCCCUCUCACAUCGAAUGUUUUAGAUACUAAUUAGGAAUAUUAAACAUAGAAAAUUUACUAAACCCAUUACAUGGAUGGAGGGUAAACGGCGAGACAAAUCUAUUAAAUCUAAUUAGUCCAUGAUUUGACAAUGUGCUGCUAUAGUAACUAUUUGCUAAUGAUGGAUUAAUUAGACUUAAUAGAUUUUUCUUGCUGUUUAGCCUCCGUCUGUGCAAUUAGUUUUAUAAUUAAUUCAUAUUUAGUCCUCCUAAUUAGUCUCCGAAUAUUUGAUGUGACACGGACUAAACUUUAGAUAGCACACCAGGGACCGACACCAUGCAUGCUGAUUUCAUAUCAUAAUUAAGGAAAGUGAUAUCAUAAUUAAGGAAAGUGGUAGCAUCCAAGAAAUCGAUCAUGUUUCUUCCCCCUUUGGCUUUCCUACUAGGAUUUGGAUAGCGGGCCUUCCUACUAGGAUUUGGAAUCCGCUAUCGCAUGACUAUCUUAAUUAUGUCCCAUAGUCCAAAACUCACAAAACAUCAAAAAUCCAUCGAGAAUAAAUUAAGUAAAAAACAUGCGCACACAGAUAAUAAUAAUAAUAAUCAUGUUUCAAUAAAAUUGCUAAGAUUAGAGAUAGUACAUAAACAUAUUAGAUUGUUCGUGACACAUAUCAUGGUGGAUAGUGUCUGUGUCCUUAUUACAAGCAGCGAUAGAUGCUUGUCACCACACACACGCACGCACAGAUGCACGACAUACAUAUAGUUGAGACCAACGGAUGGACGUCCCAUAGGGUGAAUAAUUUAUUGGAGAUAAAUAUUAACAUAACUUGGCCAUAGCUUGAAGCAUAGCAACAUAUGCUUAUGAAUGGCAUUCAUGCGGGUAGCAAUGCUAUCAUAUGCUUUUAGGCUUGUCCUUAGCUUCUUCCAUCUUAUAGCAAACACUGCCAUUUCUUCCAUCUUAGCAGCAACUGUCAAAUUAAUUGAGAUAUGGAAAUCCCAUUAGCGCAUGAGUUAAUUUUGCAGUGGAAAUAGAGUAGAAGAUGUCUUCAUAAUGUAAGUAAUAUGACUCUGACAUAGGGAGUGAAGUCAACAAAUUACAUUAACGGAAAUGCAUGGAAGGCCACGCAUAUGUAUUAGUCCGAUAUGCUACAAAGCUUGUAUGUACAUAUAAUAAAUUAAAUGCAUUGAAUAGAGUGAUUUUAGUGAAUUUACCUAAAUCGGAUUAAAAAACAUGGGAAACAACAAGUGUUCUUGUAGGGCUUUGUUUAGUUCCCAAAUUGGGAGUAGCAAAGUUUGCAUUUUACCAUAAAUGCGCAACUAUAGCAUGUAGCAUUUUGUUUGUAUUUGUGAAUUAUUAUCCAAACAUUGACUAAUUAGGCUCAAAAGAUUCAUCUCGCAAAGUACAACAAAACUGUGCAAUUAGUUUUUGAUUUCGUCUACAUUUAGUACUCCGUGCAUGUACCGCAAGUUUGAUGUGAUGGGGAAUCUUGCUUUUCAAUAGUGACAAAGUUGGGAUUUCGGGGGGAAGGCCUGUGUCGGAGCCACAUGCAAGAAUGGCUGACAUUGAGGCUCAGACAAAGCCCAAUGGCAACUGCUGACAUGCGAUUAAAUUUAGAUAUCCACAUCCAGCCAUUCACAUUUAUGAGAUAUGGACACGGUGCAAAUGGGUGGGGUCCUGAUAUGGAGGUGCGAAUGGCUGUCUACUUGUAUAGUGUAGCUCCAAUGUACGUAUAUGUAUCUUAUGCAUGUAUACAGUUGCACAAACUCUGAACCAACUCUUCAUAACAGGUCUUUGUUACCAAGUAACUUUACUUUUGCACGUUUCAGCCGAGAGGUAGAAGAGAAUAUUUUUGCAUUUUCCAUGUGCGUCAGUGGUAGAGAACUAGGAAUUAGUUCCGGAUGGUAGGGCACAAAUCUUCCAAACAACUAUCCGAAAUUAAGCAAUCGAGAUAAAGGGUGCCAUCUAUUCUCUCCGAAAAACACAGGUACCAAAAAGAAGAAGAGAAGAGGGAGGGCCUCCCGUUAAGGCCCGCUCGGGGUCUCCAUCCCACCACGCGCCCUCCCAACCCAAAGCCCAUCGUUUUCCCUCCGUCCCUCCCCUCUCCAUUGCCGCCGCCGCUCCCCUCAUCCGAGCUCGAUACGGGUGGUCGGCGGCCCCUCCUCUCCGCUCCCGCCCCCGGCCUCCCUUUGACCGCCGGGCGCCGGCAUCACUGCCGCGGCCAACCCCAGGGCGCAGCGCGUGCCUCUAUUUCUCUCCCCCGUUCAAGGGCCCUUUGAUGGCGACGAGCACCCACCCACCAGGUAUGCCCUCCCCUUCUCUUCCUAACCCUAAUAUAUUCGGAUCUCACCCAGUCACAAUAUAUUACCUAAUAGCUUCGAUUUUGUUUGCAAAAAUCAUCACGUGCGCACCCAUGUCCGCUAGAUUCUUGCGCCUGAUCCUGUGCUGCUAUGGUUUGGGCGGGGUAGACUAGUUGAUUCGUGCACUUUUGGGUGCUUGUAGUGCUAGGUUUUGGAGGGGGAUAGCCCAGUUGAUUCCUCCGUUUUGGGUGCUCAUGGUGAUAGGAUUUGGAUGGGGAUAGCCCCAAUGAUUCGUGCGCCUUUGGGUGCUGGGGAUAGUUUUGGGUGCCUGGAUAGUCCAGUUUCAAUGUCAGUAUAUGCGUAUUUUGGGGAGAAUUUUGUUUUGGGUGGUUCUGGUGCUAGAGUUUCUGAUGCUUAGUAGCCCAGUUUCAAUCAAAUUCCCCCAUGGGUCGUGCACUACGGGAAACAAGAAAAUUGCCGAGUGUAUUUUUUUUGUCGAGUGUUUUUUUUCGAGCACUCAGCAAACAAGCUCUUCGCCGAGUGCCAAGUCAAAAACACUCGGCAAAAAAAAACACUCGGCAAAUCGGGGCUUUGCCGAGUGUCAAAUAAAAAACACUCGGCAAAGAAGGGGGUUUGCCGAGUGUUAAAAAAAACACUCGGCAAACAGGAGGGUUUGCCUAGUGUUUUUUUGACACUCGGCAAAAAAAUAAUUGUUUUUCCUCUUUUCACCUUGAAAUUUUUUCUACUCCCCACAUACAACACGUGGUACUCCAUGUUAAAAUUUGGUAUAUUUUUGGAUUUAUUUGCUAUAUUUAUUUAAUUAAUUGCAUUACAAGGAAAUUUUUGGUAUAAGUCAAAUUUGAACUGCAAGUGAUUCAAAUUGUGGAACAAAAUGAGUAGAAAAAUGAUAUUCAUGUUAUUUGGCUCAAUUUGAGACCUGACCCAUGAAAUGAAAAGAAAUUUCGAACAUCUUGUUCAGGAAACACGACAAUGAACAUGUGGCGGUAGUAUUUUUAAAUUGUAAAAAAAACAAGCAAAGUCUGAAAAUCAUGAGAUUUGUAGUUAUGUGAUGAUAUAAUACGUGGAAGCUGUGGAAAAAAAUUGGAAAGGUUUUGCACAUUUCAUCAUGUACGAUGAUUACAAACCGAAGCAUAUCAGAAGAAGAAUAGUAACUUUGAGAAGGAUUCGAUAAAAUUUAGAGUCGAAGUGACGGUCGAGUUCGGUUUGACUACAAAACUUUUUGUAUAGUCAGUAGAGAACAUAUCUUAUUUCGUGUGAAAAUUUGGUAUUUUUUGAAACUGUUGGAUAUUUUUAAUUUUUUUUUAAAAAAACUUUGCCGAGUGUCCUAGGGUAGACACUCGGCAAAGAAAAACUUUACCGAGUGCCCGCCUAGGACACUCAGCGAACCUUUUUUUAAACCUACCGGCUCCGGCCGGCCCAGCCCACAAACACCACCCGCCCCCCGCCCCCGCGCCUUCUUCCUCACGCCGCCCCCGCCCCCCACCCGUGCCUCCGGACCGCCCCCUCCUCCCCCUGGCCUCCCCUCACGCCGCCCCCCUCCUCCCCUAGCUCCCUCCACCGGCGGCCCUCCCUCCCCCGGCGCACAUCCUCCACUCCUCCUCCCCUUCCCUUCCCUCCCCUCCCCUCCCCUCUUCCUCCCCUGGCCGGAUCUGGCGCCCCUAGCUCCCCUUUCUUCCGCGGCCAGAUCUGGCGCCCUCCCGGCGGCGGGUCGUGGCGAUCGGGGCGGCGGCGGCGGAUCAGGCCGCGGGGCGGCGGCGGCGGCGGGUCGUGGCUACCGGGGCGGCGCCCUGCCCCUCCCCUCCCUCUCCAUCUCCGGCUGCCGUCCACCCCCUCCCCGGAUCCGCCCCCCUCCCCUCCGCGCGGCCAGCCCCUCCUCCCUCUCCGGCCGCCGCCCCGGCCCCUCCUCUCCCUUUCUCCGGCCACCGCCCCGCCCAUCUUCUCUGGAUCCGGCCGGAUCCGGCCGCCGCACAGCCCCUCCUCCCCGGAUCCGGUGGGCGCGGACUUCGUGGUGGUGGCGCCGGAUCCCUCCCCUCCCUCUCCAGAUAACUCCCUCCACUCCUCCGCUCUUCCCCUCUCUCGCGCGGCGGCCUCUCUCCGGCCGCCGCCCCGCCCCUCUCCCCGGAUCCGGGGGGGGGGGGACUCCGCCCCUCUGCCCCGGAUCCAGCUCCCCGACCCGCGAGUGGGGCGAGCUUGCUCAUGCGGUCGACGUCGAGGCCAGGGUGUGGUGGAGGUGGUGGCCGGCGGGUGUGGUGGUGGUGGCGGCGGCGGGCAUGGCGGCGCGGAGGCAAGGCACGGCGGCCGGUGGGAGGCACGGGUGCAAGGCGUCGACGGCAGGAGGCAAGGCACGGCAGCAUGGGAGGUGGUGCUGUGGUGGUGGUGCUGGCGGUGGUGGCGGCGGCGGAGCAGGAUGUGGUGGUGGCGGAGGAUGUUUUUUUUUCAAAAAUUUGUUGCCGAGUGUUUUCUCGGCACUCGGCAAAGACUUUACCGAGUGCCCGACACAAAACACUCGGCAACUCAGUGUUUGCCGACUGAAAAAUUGCCGUGUGCCGUUUGCCGAGUGUUACACUCGGCAAACGGUUCGCCGAGGGUUUUUUGCCCUUCGCCGAGUGCCCCUAGCACUCGGCAAUUUCACUAUCUCCCGUAGUGGUGGCUGGACUUAUGGGGGGAUCAUUGAUGGGGGACUAGUUGGAUACUUUUUGGCUGUUUUGGGAGUCCUUGGCAGCGGCUUCUCAGGGCGUACGUAGCCCAUUGUAGAUUCCAGCCGAGAAGAUUAAGGAAUUGUGACUGCAACCAUGUUACUUUUCUAGGACUCUGUUUCUGAUAUUGUUCCCGCUGCAUCUUUUCAUCCCCAUGGUGAAUGUUGCUGUUGAUCUGUAGAUUGGAUUUGUUCCUCGGUAGCUUUAUUAGAUUUGUGCUGAAUGAUAAUCUCUGCCUGUGAUAUUUUUCUUCAUUGCGGAUGUGUGCCGAGUAUUAUCCCCUUUGUUCAUUCUGUUGGCUUUUUUUAUUGUCUCUGUACUCGGCUGUUCAGCUUGUGCAGCUAAUGAUCUAAUGUAUUUUGUCGUAACUAUGUAUUUUUCGGAUGUGUGCCGAGUAUUAUCCCCUUUGUUUAUUCUGUUGGCUUGCUUUCAUUGAUCUUAAGAUAACUGGUGCUAUAAAUUCACACUAGCUGAUGCACUUGCAAAUAGCUAUGUAAAUAUGAAAAGAAGUAUUUUUUUAUCCUUUUGUUUGUUUGGCAUCAUAUCUGUUUAAAUGGCAUAGCAAUAAGAAUUUUUUGUUUUUGGGGAAUCAUAUCUGCUUAAAUGGUAUAGAAAAUGCUGAGUGCACUGUCAAAUAGAUUUUCCAGCAGUCUGCUUUCAGUUGUUUUUGCAAAUCCUCACAGGCCAGUGAACUGACUUUGUUUUUACCACCCCAUGCCAUUUAAAUGACUAAAUCAGUCAGCCUAAUACUAUAUAUGGUCAUGCUAUGAUCUUAUUUCUUGAAGCUCUAUAGGUCAACCCAUAAGGGUAACUUAGUUUUUCCUAUUCUGGCUGGGGAAGUGGAUACGAUGGCUAUCCUUGGUAGAGUUAAAUACAUUGGCGGCUCUUAGCGCGCCAAUGUGGCACCACAAUAUCGAACAUAUGUAGAAACCCCCUUGUUUUUUCUCAUAUCCCUCUCUCUCAGCGUCCUCUUCUCUUCUUCUCCUCUGUCUCCUCCCCUCCCAUCGCGUGCUUUAUUGCGCCGCCGCCAUCCGCCUCCAUGUAUGAACACGUCGUUUGUCAUGAAGAAGCAGUUGAUGAGGCAAUCAAGCAUGUGGUGCACAAGGUUCUUCUGCUGGCCAAGUCCGAGUCGAACAGCCGCGCAUUCAUUGGGGAAGCACGCGCCAGGCAUCACCAGGCUCCUCGUGCCCCUACUCUGCUCCAAGGACUCGGUGCUUCGACGCGCUGCUUUCCCUGUCCGGCGAGCGGGGAUCGUUGGGAGAUGAUCGAUGGAGGAUGGAGCUGAUCCUCCUGUACACGGUGCCGGUGGGGAGCAGGGAGCUGCGGAGCAGGUCCACGGGCGGCGCCAUUACAGCAGGUGCAGGCUAAGGGUAAUGAGCAGAUCGAGGCGAUGGAGGAGGACCCGCACGAGGUGCAGCUUCUUCGCCUCCUGCGCAAAGUCAGCGCCCAAGCAGCCGCUGAGGGACAGGCCGAGGCUUAGCUCGAUCUCAUCCGACUAAAUGGUGGCUGCACUCCCACAGUCCCACUGGUGCUCCUCCCUUCUGUCCGAACCUGCCGAGGAAAUCCCUCGAUGCCAUGGGUCCCGGCUGGACGACUACUCCUCCCACAGAUUGACUGAGGAAGAAGAGCUUCUCAGUGUCCAAAAAUUCAGUUACACUGGAAACAGCAACCAAUUACGUUCUUCCGGCUCAGCCAAGCCCCAAUCUCCUUGCUUCUGUGCGCCCCUGCUAAAUAUUCCAGAAACCAAUCUGGUUAGUUGUUUUUUCACAUUUUCAGUGCAUGCCGGUGCUGCUGUGUGCGGCAUGCAUGGAGUUGUCGUGGGAGUGCACGGUGGCUUAGCUGGUGCGCCAGUGCGCGGGCACGAACACAACGGUGAAGAUGGCAGGGCCAUCUCAAAGCUCCUGAGCACCUGCACGCGUCGCUGAGCAGGACAUGCUGCGACGGUGGGCGAGCGCUGCUAACGCCCUGGGGAAGAGCAGUGGGUGCAGAGAGAGGGAGCGAGGGAGAGGGGUUCUUGUAUAUGUUUGCUAGCGUGGCACCGUUUACGGUGCCCGCCUAAGUGGCAUUCACGUGUCAUUCAUCCCAAAUGGUGUUGCAAGGUUGAACCUAUUGUGGGAGGCUUUUGGUUUCCCUUGACAGUAUCACCAGUGAUAUCACUGCGUUCUGGUUAUGUAUGAAACACUUGUCCUUUUAAAACCUUUCUGAAUUUAGAAACGAAUUUGAAACAUUACCCUCAUUUCCAUGUUUUUCUAUCUUUUGUCCCUGUAAAAUCAAACUAAAUUUGAAUUAUUAUGUUCAGAACUACAAGCUGAUUUACUUGUCCCAUUUGCUAAUAACAGGGCCUUGUGAUUUCUAAUGAACAUUGCAGAGCAUGUUAUAAAGCGUAUGCAUGAACACCAAGGGGAUGAAACCAUUGGUAUAUUUCUCACAACCUUUUGAACUUAUCAUUUAGCAUAUUUGUGUUCUAGUGUGACGUUUCAGCCACGAGACAUGAGAAAUGUUAGCUAUGGAUUUUGGUUAUUCAUCAUGGGUUCACAGAUUUGUUUUUCUCUAAAAGAAUUGGGAAGUAGCUUUCUUUCUGGGUAUAUGUGGGGAAAUGCAUAUGCAAUCUUUUAUUUAUUGAGGUGACUGUAAAAUUCUUGUCUGACUGAAUAUGCGAUUUCAACCUACAUGCUAUACUUAGGGAAAUUUGUGAAUCUCCUAAUGUCUGCUGCAUGGCAUGAAUGCAUAUUUUACUGGUCCAUAAUGUGAAGUUCUGUAUAUAAACUUCUCGUGUUGACCCUUUAGAACAUGCUAACUGGAGAGUUUUCUAGAGUAGUUAAACAAGAGAUUUAGUUAAAUCUGCACACAUAGGUGGGGCCUGGCAUACCCUAAGAAUCGGCCUAGCCGGUCAGCCCAUUAGUAAAAAAAAAAGCACCGCAGUCAGCAGUCCCCACGUUGGUCUUCCUCGAGUCGCGACUCGCGAAGCUCCCAUCCUCCGAGUCCAAGAUGGUGGACUGUGUCGAGCGCGGGGCGGGCGAUUAGUUGCCCGGCCGCCGGCGGGGGAUGGCCGGACGGCCAGAUCGCCGACUCCUCUAGUCCUCCCUCCAGCCUCUGCGCUUCUUUCACAGUGGAGCUAGCGGCGAGGCGCCCGACCGACACCCUUCUUCCCAAAUCCCGGCAGCCCUACCUCGAUUUGGCCUCCUCCGAUCAUUUGAUAAUCAAUUUGAUGAAAUUAAUAUGGAGUUGCUUUCUUGUAUGGUUGCCUUCAAUCCUGCUAAUUCAUUUGCUUCAUUUGAUGCACAAAAGAUACAUAGACUUGCUAUAUUUUUAUCCACAAGACAUCACAAGCACGGAUUUGCUAAAACUUGAAUUCCAGCUCGAUAUUAUAUUGAUGAUGUGAGAUAGGAUGAUAGUUUCAAAGGCCUACAAGAUCUUGUUAACUGAGACUCAGUUAAGCUUGUUGAAACAAACAGGCAUAAUAUUUAUGACUUGGUUUACUUGCUUCUCAAAUUGGUAUUGGUUCUUCUUGUGGCGACAGCUAGUGUUGAAAGGGAUUUUUGUGCAAUGACUUUGAUCAAGAGUAAGCUAAGAAAUAAGAUGGGUGAUAGUCUUUUGGAUGAUUGUCUUAUCACAUUCAUUGAGAAAGAUAUUUUCUUUGAAGUGGAUGAAGAAGAUAUAAUUAAGACUUCAUAUCCAUUAGAAAUCGUAGGCUGGAGAAGAAGUAAUAUUUUAAUUUUCUUUGAACGUUAGGUCUGUAAGCUUCUUUUAAACUAUCUACAUUAUAAUUUAUGGACCUUUUAAUUUAACCGUUGAAUUCAUGAUAUUAUGAGAUUUUUUUAUCUAUGUUAUUAUUGUUUACCGAUUUAUUACCAAAUUAUUAGUUUGAUCUUACAAUAUUGUAUUUUGGAUGAUUGGCUCGGCAUACUCUAAGUUUAAAUCCUAGCUCCGCCACUGUUUGCACAUUAAUGUGGCUUAUAUGUGUGGAGUCACUUAACCUAUGCACUUGGACCUCCACUCCCUUAGGUUUUAUGAACCUAAUUUGACAGCCUGCUCGUCUUUUAUUUUCUACCAAUCAGCUAGGAACGAACAUGGUGAUGUUUGCAUCUCUGCCAUCAAUGGCUUACAUGUCAUUAUGUAUCACAUUAGCAAGUCUUGUUUUGUUAUUGGCUGGGAUGACGGGGACUCUAGCUGGAAUUGAAUCAAAGUGGUAGAUCACAGGGUAUUCAUUGCCAUGUAUUUCUGCAGUUGCAUGGACUUGCAUCAAACGGACCUUCCUACUUAUGUGAUUGUCCUAUAUGAUCUCCUUUGAUUUCAUUUGCACACUGUAAUCACAUUAGCUAGAACACUCGCUUUUUGCUUCAAAUUUGAAAUUCAUAUCAUGAUGGACUAGAACGCUGAAUUUCUUGAUUGCUGAGUUACUAAUCACAUUGUGGCGCUGCCAAAGAAGCUGGACUCUUCAUUGUUGUUGCCUUGUGGGCUGCCGUGUGCAAAGAACAAGAGCGCACGGUAUUAUAAUAGCAGAGCAGAACACAGACAAGCGACAAGGAGCGGAGCAGAGCAGAGCACAGCCAGGCACAAGCAGUAGAGUAGAGCAGAGCAACCGGGAGAGGAGAGGGCACAUAUGCAGAGUAGAGCAGAGCCAAGCGCAAGCAUUCAUGCACUCAAGCAUGCAGCAGAGGUGUAGCAAGGCAAGCACAAGCAGCAGAGCAGAGGGAAGGGAAGGCUGGGAGAUGAAUAGGCGAAUAGUUACCUGGACAGAGCAGAGGGAAUGGAGAUGAUGCAGAUGCUUCCGGAGACUCGAGAUUUGGAGAGGAACAAGGCCACGUUGUGAACAAGGUCUCCUUUCUCUUCUCUAUUUCCCGCGCAAGUACUUGUGCAUAGUGGCUGCCUCAUCCUCCAGGACGUCCACUUCAACCUGAGGCGGGUGCCACAGACAUCCUGGCUAUGCGACGGCUACCCCCAGCACACCCCCGGCGCCUAUGAACCAUGAUCCUAAUACUAUAAAUUGUCAACCUUGUAAUCUUAUUUCAAGCAUGCUCUCUAUGUCAACCUGUAAGGUUAACUUCGUUUUUCCUUUUCUGGGUAGGGGAGUGGAUAUUGCUGUUAUUUAUAUUAUGUUGAUAUUGGUUUCCACAUGUCAUUCACCCCAAAUGUGUUGCAAGGUUGAACCUAUCAUCGGAGGAAUUUUUUUCCCUUUACCUUUAUAUCACUACGCUCUGGUUAUGUAUGAAACACUUGUCUUCUUAAAAACCUUAAUUUAGAAACAAAUUUGAAACACUAUCUUCAUUUACAUCCUGUAUGUGUUUUCUACCUUUUGUCCUAUAUGAUCUGCUUUGAUUUGAUUUGUGCAUAGUUUUUUCAAUUCAGACCUGGUGAUUUCUGAGGUUCAUGUUGUGCUGAUAAGCAGCCUACUAUUCAGUAACACUUUCAUGUGGCAUGUUCAUGUUAGCUAGCUAGAAACACUGCUUUUAGCUUCAAAAUUCAAAUUCAUGACAUGAUGGACAUUGACAAUGAAUUUCUUGAUUGCCGAGCUAUGUACACUGUAAUUCAGACCUGGUGCUUUUAGUUUUUUUCUUGAUUGCCGAGCUAGAAACACUGUGCUUUUAGUUUUUUCAAUUCAGACCUGGUGAUUUCGGUUUUUUCAAUUCAGACCUGGUGAUUUCUGAGGUUCACGUGUCACACCGAUUUUAAGAACAAAAUCGAGUGCAUUAAAUAUACAUGUACGCUAGGAUCAGGUUACACACAUGUACGACAUAAGCGAAUAUCAAAGACAAUGCCAUAACGAAAUAAAGAGAGUAUUAAUCAUUAUUACAUGACCGAAAGUCUCAAAUAAACCACAAAAUCUAUUUAUUACAUAGCGGAACUUCUAAGAUAGCAACGUCUCCACAGGCAGCUGACUGAAGAACUGUAUGCCUAGAACUCUUCAAAAUCGUGCAGGUACUCCUCCAGAUUAGCUUGGUAUGAACAACGGUUUUGCAAGGGUGAGUACACUUAUGGUUGGUACUUAAUAAGUCGUGGGAAACAAUGUAGUGUAAGGCAAAUCAAGGUAUGGCUAAGGCUUAAACAGCAUCAGCUUUUAAUUUAGUUGGUCAAAUUUUAUUAGCAAUUAAUUAGACGUAAAUUUAUACCACCCGAAAUUAAACAAGAACAUGAAUAAAAUAAUAACAUAACCAUAAAUGAAAUGACAACAAUUUAAAUCCAUCUUUUCAUAGCAUUAUCAUGUGAGGGUCCAGUCCGUUCUUAACCGUGAGCACCGCUGAUCGAUCAGUUUUACACUCUGCAGAGGUUGUACAUCUUUACCCACAAGUCGCGUAAAAGUUCAAAAGAAUUUUGGACCCAACCAUGCGGUAUUUGCAAGGCACCAUACCACACUUCCAAGGUGUGAUUGCAUAUGAACGCUACGAGGCCUUUACAAAGAUUCAUUAGUAAGUGGUAACCCGCUAAGGUUUCGGUAUUUGGCGUGCACAACCUAUCACAGGCCGCUAAUGCAACGACUCAGUCCCCCCUCUUGCCUCAUCACGAGUAAGAUUACCCCAGACUAAGGUUUCUAAUUAUUCAGCCAAGAUCAGAACCAUUUAGUCUUGUGGUAGCACUGUUUUCCUGGGUGGUUCUCCAUGUUCCGAUUAAACAUAAUGGUCUUGUAUUAAUGGAAGGUAUAACAUAAAUAAUACCAAAUUAAUAAUAAUUCAGAUUAAAUCACCAUAACCAUAUUUGAGCACUAAGCAUGAGCUACCCAACAUAAAUUUAACCCGGUUGGUCAAGGCAAGGUAGAUAAAGUCUAGGAAAUUCUUAAUUGGGACCCAUCAAGUUUAAAUUAUACUUUGCAUGGUAUGUUGCAUAGAACAUGAAAGUAAAUGUGAAUAGGACUGAAAAGGAGUGAUUAGGGACACGACUUGCCUUUUUAACCUUGUUCUUGCUGUUCGUACUCUUCGAAAACUUUGAUCUUCAAAUCCCUUGAACUGCUGACCGUCUACACGCGUCACACGACCACAUACAAGCAAACAAAUAUAAUACAUAAGAAAACAGUACACCAAUCAUAAUUAAAUAGAAGAAACAAAUUUGAAAAGCUAUUCUACGCAUUAAAACGAAAACACGGAUACAAGGAACGUUAAAAACGGAGCUACAGUGCAAAAACUACGCUUAAAACAAGAUGCAGGGGUAUAACUACGAGAAACCAAACUUCCAGGGAUUUAAUUUUAAAUAAUUUUGAACUGCAGAAGGGGCAGCAGGGCAAAACGUAGAAAAUGCAGGGGCUUAAGCGCAAAAGCAUGGCUGCUGACUCAGCUGACUUGAUGUGGAUCGUCGGAUGGCGAUCCGGCGGCCGGCAGCUGCUGCGCUGACGUCAGCGACGGCGAGCGCCGGCGAAAAACGGCAGUUCGCCGGAAUCGCCCGGGAACGCGCGACUGGGUGCAGAUUUGAGCGAGGAUUAGACUAGCAGAUAGAAACGAGCGCAGUGAACUCAUUUGGGAUGCCUACGGCGAGGACUUGGCGACGGCAUCGGCUCCGGCGAGAACUUGCGGCAGGGAAACCAAAUAAAAUAAAAUAACACGGUUCAGAGAAGCGGCGCUGGAGGAACGCGAGCGAUUUUGCGUGCGAGCGGAAGAAAACACUGCGAGGAAGAUGACUGCGGGCCCUGCUUGUCUGCGGCAGGAGGAGAGCUGCGUGCGAGAAGAACCUGGCCACGAUCUGGGCCGUUGCCUUCGAUCUGGGCCGAGGCAAGCUAGCUGGCCCGCUGCUGCGGAAAGGUGCUGGGCCACGGGCGGAGCACAGCGUCGGGCCAGAAAGGAGAUGGCUGCUGCGAGGAAACAAAAGAAAAUGAACUGGGCUGCGACAGAGGAAAACUGGGCGUCGGCCAGAAAGAAGCUGCGUGCAGCUUGCUCUUGUUUCCGAACUAGAAACAGGAACUGACGGAAAGACAGAAAUCAAUUGGAGACUGAAACUGACGCCCCAGACUCUGAACUUCGAAAAAACAGGACAACCAGCCAACUGACAGAAAAAAAAAAGCUUAACAACCCAAAAGCAGUACACAACCACGAAACCAGGCCACAAGACUGAAAAAGCUUGAUAGGAACAUCUGGCGACUGAACCAAAAAACUACAGAACUGCAACUGAAGAACUAGAGAACAGAUAAAUAACUGAUUGAACUCUGAAACUGAAACACCAAAGAGCAGGAAGCUGACUGACGGAAAAUGCAAAACAGCAACCCAAGGUGAAACACAAAUUCUUCUUCAAGCAUUCAAACAAAGAGAUAUGCAACAGCAUGAAUGCUCAAUAAAAUCCUAUAUUUCAUUAAUUAAUUAGAAAAAAUGCUCAAAUGCCUAGAAAAAUGCAAAAGUGACCUUAUAUGCCUUAAACAAGCAAAUUCGUUUCUAGCGAUUUUUGGUAAAAUGCAAAAUUAGAGAUUUUGGGUGUUACAUCAUGUUGUGCUGAUAAGCAGCCUACUAUUCAGUAACACUUUCAUGUGGCAUGUUCAUGUUAGCUAGCUAGAAACACUGUGCUUUUAGCUUCAAAAUUAAAUUCAUGACAUGAUGGACAUUGACAAUGAAUUUCUUGAUUGCCGAGCUAUGUACACUGUAAUCACAUUGUGGGGCUGAUAAAAUAAGCAGCGUUGAGACACAUAACAAUUGAAUCUUAAGCUUCACACAGAAUCUGGACCAGUCAUCCUCAUUCCUGUCAUGCUGGAAAUGUCUUUGAUACAUUUCAAUCACAGGCAAUUGAAUUCGUACUGGGGAGGAUGGCAAUGGUGCAUGAAGAGAGAUCAAUGUGGCAAAUCUCACAUUGUUCAUUACCAGGUAUCUCCGAUUUCUGGUUAUUUUAAAUUUACCUUGACAUGUGACUUAUUGAGGUAUUGUAUUUCAUCUAAUGGUAGUUCUGAAUUUAUGGUAACCUUGGAUGGGGUUUGUCACUUUAUACACGCACGGACUUACAAAGGACAGCAAAUGAGUAUAUUUAGAGGGCUCCUGUCCAACCAUGGACUAUACUUAUGUACCCUUUUUUGACAUGGUAAUUUGAGGUUAAUGGAAAAGUAGCGAUAGUCGCCUCCAGCGAAGCUACCUUCUUCGAAAGCUCCGAGGCUGCUUUCUCGCUCUUAGCAAGCCGAUCCCUCGUAAUCAUCGAAGAGUAAGAGACCUACAGAUUUUAAAAACCAAGUUACCAAAAAUAACGAAGUAAAAGACAACACUCGCAAGACAAACCACCAAACUAUCUCAUAAUUGUACCUUCUUUACGAGGUUCGCCUCCAAGUUAAAGAGCUCUUCCAAGAUCAUUGACUUCACAGCUUGCUGAAAAUCUAUGCGCCAAAGGAUAUAGUCGUAAGCAUAAAAUAAAAAUUGGUAAAAACCAAGGACAGCAAAGCCAUCUACAAGCUGUUCUUACCCUCAUACUUUCGCACCUCAACGGCGAUCGGAACAACCUUCUCUCUAGCCUCGCCCUUAGACGCCACCACAAUCUUCCCGCCACACAAAUCCACAACCCCUCCUUUACCUUUGCCCUCUCCCGAAGUCGUCGUGCCCGCCUUCUCCACCCUUUUUGAACCGCCAACAUCUGCAUAGCGCUCGCAACCUUCACCUUCAGCCCCCCAGACCAAAGACAGGUUGUGAGGAUUAUAAACCCUACCUUCGGCGCAUGUAGCUAGAAUCUCCGUGCGCCCGCUCAAGCCCAGACACUCAUUCAGUCCCUGAAGCCCCGCCGGCAACCUCUCACCUACAUCAUAACAUUCAACUUUUAGCCUCACAUGAUCCUCACAACUAACCUUACCAACGCCCCCCAUAGUUUCUUCCAAGUCCUUCAAAAAUUUCGUUGAGGCCUCACCACAAUCAAAGAACCGUAGCAUCGAUAGAAACACCUCUACAUGCUUACCAGAUCUCACAGCUUCGGCACACCCACCCUUUGGAUCAGAUGAGAACGCAUCCACAAGCUUCGCCUUUUCGGUGGCAAACCCCCUCUCAAGUUUCCCAACAUCAGUCAAGAGAUGUUGCGCGCUCUUAAACUUCGAGCUUAUGGAAGGCACCGUGAUCUUGGUACCAGCUGCCGAAGACGCGUCAACCUUGGCACCCGUAACAGUAACAGGAGCAAAUCGAGGUUUCUUGGCGCCUCUUUUGAUCCGUGCGGCGGGCCCGGUGGAUGAAGGUGCAAGAGCUGGAACCUCCUUAGGAGGGCGCAUAGAGACAGGAACAACAUAUGCCGGAUUGCUCAAGUCGCCAGACGAAGCUGUCGACCACGAUGGCAACAUAGCAGACGAAGCCCCCGCGGUCAUUUCCUUCCUUUUUUGCGCCUCCAAAUUCAAGGUCUUUUGCUUCGCCUUAGCGGUCACUUGCAAUUCAAUAGUGAGCUUCACCAUGGGUACGAAGUCAAAUUUUGCCUUUUUCCUCUGCUCAAGACUAGCACCGCGACGGCGCCUCUUGCCCGUAACUUUGGGGUGAGGCAGAACCACAAUAUCAUACAAGUCAAAAAUCUAAGAUGAUGACAUUCCAUUUGUAUCCAUGAUUUAUAUUGUGUUCCUUGAAUAUCCAUUAAAGUCUACUUGAAUUGAUUUGCAAUUAUGUGAAUUGUAUGUGAAACUCUUUCCUUGUAUGGUUAUUCUAAAGUUGUCCCUAGUCGGAGUUCAUGUGAGGACACAUGAAUAUUAGACUAGCACAUGUAUUAGUUGAUGACUAUGUUUCACAAGUCAUGGACAUGAAGAUGUGGAACUAAUAAUGUGGGCACAUGUGGAGACACGUGCUAGGACUGACCCAACACGAGAAGUAGUUCUCUCUUUAUACAACAUAUACGCUUUGUCCUUAGACCUGAGAUUGUCGCAUGUACUCAAGAUGUGGAUCGACUUACUUAGGGGCUAUCAAAUUCUACGCCGUAACAGGGUAGUUAUAAAGGUAGCUUUCGGGUUUGUCAAGAAGCAUGCUAUGAGACAUGGUCAAUCAAGAUGGGAUUUGCCCCUCUCUGAUUGAGAGUGAUAUCUCUGGGCCCCUCGAGUGAUCGGAUCCGAAAAUGCAUGGCCAUGCUACAUACGAUUAAGAGUUAGCCUACAAAAGGAUUCCGAAUCAUAGGAUCGAGAAAGAGCGGUCGGCUUGAAGCUAGACCAAAUAUCGUGAGGCAAAGGGAAUAGCAUGUAUAUAAUGUUGUGAUGGUUCGUCUGAUAUGAUCUUCGUGUGCGUAUAGGAGUUGGCACGUCUUGCUAGAGGUCGCUACCGACUAUUGGGCCGAGUAGGAGUACUCAGGCCAUGUCUAUACGUAUCCGAACCCAUAGGGUCACACACUUAAGGGGCUGGAAGCCCAAUUCGGAUGUGAUCCGAAUUGGAUUAGGUUUAGAAGUACUAAUGGGCCUUGGACCUAGAGGCCCGUUAGGAACCUCUAUAAAUAGAGGGGUGGGGGCGCCCUAGGGUUUACACCUUUUUGGUGAAACACAUCUGCCGCGCCUCCCACGCCUUCGCCUGUUGCAACUCGCGGACCUAGCAGUCCGGCUUGCGACGCUUCCUCCCUGCACGUGUGGAUACCUUGGAAGUGUUGCUCCUGCAGCACUUGGACGAGCCGCCAACGAGCCACGACGAGCCACGAUGAGCCGACGAUGAGCCGCGGCACGAGGGGGAUCUUGCUGCACGUGGACGAGCUGCUGAGGAGCUGCUGGACGUCGAUGUGUUCGACUACGUACGACUACGCUGAUCGACUUCGCUGCAUCAACGCGAAUCUACAUCUUCCGCAUCAUUGCAUCGAGUGGUAAUCCCGUGAUCCUGAUACGGCAGUUUUCCUAGUUUACGCGGUAGAAAAUUUUGUUUUGUGCUAGUGUAGCCUAACUCAUAUCCCAACAACGUGUGCUAUAGGUCACGCAAGCCUGAAAAUGGCCACACCGGACACCGGGUACGAAAACAUGGGGGAUGGACCGAACAUUUGAAAAUGGCCUCCAUAUGUGUUUUCGGCUAUGAAAAUGUGUGUUAUAGGUCACAGAAGCUUGAAAACGGCCGCACCAGCCACUAGGGACGAAAACGUGGGGGAUGGACCAAAGACAUAAAAAAUAGCCUCCAGACGCGUGUUCGGCCAUGAAAACGUGUGGUAUAGGUCCUGGAAGGCCAAAAACAGCUACACCGGCCACCUGGGACGAAAAAGUUUGUGUAAGACCGAACACUUGAAAAUAGCCUCUGGACGCGUGUUCGGCUAUGAAAAGGUGUGUUAUAGGUCACACGAGCCCCAAAACAACCACAGCGAACACCAGCUACAAAAACAUGGGGGAUGGAUCGAAUAAUUGAAAAUGGCCUCCAGACGUUUGUUCGGCCAUGAAAUCGUGCGUUAUAGGUCGCGGGAGCCCGAAAACGGCCACACCGGCCACCGGGAAUGAAAAUGUGGGGGAUGGACCGAACAAUUAAAAAUGGCCUCCGGAUGUGUGUUCGGCCAUGAAAACGUAUGUUAUAGGUCACGGGAGCAUGAAAACGGCCGCACUGGCCACUGGGGACGAAACGUGGGGGAUGGACCGAAGACGUGAAAAUAGCCUCCAGACGCAUGUUCGGCCAUGAAAAUGUGUGCUAUAGGUCAUGCAAGGCCAAAAACAGCUGCACCAGCAACCGGGGACGAAACCAUGGCUGUCAAACCGAACGCUUGAAAAUCGCCUUCGGACGCGUGUUCGGAUAUGAAAACAUGUGUUGUAGGUCACGCGUGCCCGAAAACGUCCACAACGGACACCGGGUACAAAAACGUGGGGGAUGGAUCGAAUAACUGAAAAUGACCUCCGAACGCGUGUUCGGCCAUGAAAACGUGUGUUAUAGGUUGCGGGAGCCCAAAAAUGGCCACACCGGCCACCGAGGAUCAAAACGUGGGGGAUUGACCGAACAAUUAAAAAUGGCCUCCGAUUGUAUGUUCGGCCAUGAAAACGUGUGUUAUAGGUCAUGGGGGCCCAAAAAUGGCCGCACCAGCCACCAAGGACGAAAAUAUGGGAGAUGGACCAAAGACAUGAAAAUGGCCUCCAGAUGCAUGUUUGGACAAAAGUGUGUGCUAUAUGUCGUGCAAGGCCAAAAACAGCUACACCAGCCACCGGGACAAAAACGUGGGUGUUUGACUAAACAAGUGAAAAUGGCCUCCGGAAGCAUGUACGGCUAUGAAAAUGUGUGCUAUAGGUAAUGGAAGGCUAACAAAAGCUACACCGGCCACCGGGGACAAAAUCAUGGGUGUCAGACUGAACACUUCAAAAUGGCCUCCGGACGCGUGUCCGGCUAUCAAAACGUGUGUUAUAGGUCAUGCGAGCCCGAAAACAACCACACUGAACACCGGGUACAGAAACAUGGGGGAUGGACUGAAUAACUGAAAAUGGCCUCUAGACGCGUGUUCGGUCAUGAAAACAUGUGUUGUAGGAUGCGGGAGCCCGAAAACGGCCACACCGGCCACCAGGGCAUGGACCAAACAAUUGAAAAUGGCCUCCGGAUGUGUGUUCGGCCAUGAAAACGUGUGUUAUAGGUCACGGGAGCCCAAAAAUAGCCGCACCGACCACUGGGGAUGAAAUCGUGGGGGAUGGACCGAAGAUGUGAAAAUGGCCUCCAGAUGCGUGUUCGGCCAUGAAAACGUGCGCUAUAAGUCAUGUAAGGCUAAAAAUUGCUACACCGGGACUAAAGCAUCCCCCAUGAGUUACAAUAAAAGGAUUGUAUCCUCUACUCAGUCGGAUGUACUGUGUAGGUGAGAUGGUAAGGAAGCUAUGCGCGAGGUUUGAGGUUGUGGGUUGAAAUCCUACGCACCGCGCGCACACGCGCAUAUUUUGUGUGAAAAAUCAUGUGACUUGUGAUCGGCCAAGGAGAAGUGGGUGCAGCUGUGGCUUAAGUGGCUGAGGCACGCUGCCAUAGACAUCUCCGAUUUGCUCGAAGACUACCAAGACACUAGCAAUAACAAGAACUACUGCUCUUCCUAGCAGACUCUUUACAACCACUUUAAAGCUGUGCAUUUCUCAAUGUAAUUUCGUAGAAGGCAAUCGAUCCAACCAAGCGACUAAAUCAUUUGUUCUUGCCAAUGAUGUACAUCAGGUUUUCUAUAUGAAGGACAUGUCUAGCAAACCUAAGAUUUUAGAAGAAAAAGAAAAAUUAUGGGAGUCAAUAAUAAAUCAGGCCAAUCAGGAGAUUAUAGUAAGCUCGAUGGUAUGCCUCCAUUCGAUGUCGAAGUUGGCCCAAGCAUCAUGUUAGCCAAAGAUCAAAUGUUCGUGCAUUGCUACGGUAAAGAUCAAUUGUGUCUUUUAAACCCAUGGAAUUUUUUAUCUAUGUUUUUAUUACACUUAAUGGAUGUCUACACAUUUGCUAGAAAAUCAAAAUAAUUUUGACUUAAUUAUUUCUUUCAACUCAAAUACUCAUUAAAUUUCUACCUUUUUAUUUAAGCAAGAGAGUUGCUCAAAAAAUGGAUACGUAACCAUGUUGUAUCAUACAAAGCAACCACAUUUCACAUAUAGUCUGGCUUAGCAAACACCAUUGUUGUCUUAACAUAGUGUUCAUGAGUUAGUAGACAUGGAUCUAUUUCUAAUUGCAAGUAGUGCAGCGUACAACCAGCCUGCACCGCCGCAGCUCAAUAUGCGAUAAUUUUUUAUCUUCCCAUGUAAUUUUUCUACUCUAGUACAUAUUGAACUCCACAUAAAUGUCAUGUUCUUUCACGCCACAGACGGUUUCUAAAGUUUGGAACUAAAUAGAUAGCCAAAAAUUUUAAAAAAAUAUUUAUAUGGAUACAUGUAUGUUCUUUGCAAACUAACAAUAUUGUUUACAAUAUCAAAAGGAAUAUGGCUAUGAUCAUUGCCGCAUAUGGCAGGUGAUGGUAGAUGCCGUAUGGGGUUUCUUUAACUUAAUUGUAUAAUAAGCUGAAAUACAUUUUCUAUUUGCAAAUGAAUCAUAGCUGAAAGUGGUGGGAUUGUAGAACCGCCGGCCAUCGUGUCCUUGUAGGACCGCUGCACGAGCCUGUGAGCCACCAGCCACCAUGCGCCCAAGGGCCAUCACCACGCCAUAAGAGGAUGCUGUCUACCCGGUUUCGCGCGCCUGUGCUAGCUGCCUGAACCUGGGCCGCCGCCGGUCGCCUGCCCAGCCGCGCGUUGCGCCAGGGUUUUGCUGGUGACGACCAUGGCCUUCGCGAUCAAAUUAAAAAGUUAUCAACUGCAAAGUAUUAGGUCUCGUUGAGCUCUACAAUUUUGAUAUAAAGUUUCUAUUCAUCCGAGAUCAAAUAAAAAAUUUGAUACUCAAAGCAUAAAUCCAUUAAUCUAGUCUUGCUAAUCCUUACCACCAAAUAAAAAACUAGCAUGUGUUGUGUGUUUGUGACCCUAAACGAUCACAAAUGAAUAACUUAUGGGCCUUGCUAGCGCCCGGAUGUCCAGGCCGGGGCACUAGCAUCAGACCCACGAGUAGCCGUCCGAUCAGGUUCGACACCACUUCAGGAUCUGGCUUAAAAAGAAGUCCCACCGAAACAUUGUUCCAUGUUGCAUGAAGCAACCCACUACCGUCGCCAGGUCUAGAGCAAGCACCACCUUCAAAUGUGCUGCUCACCCUAGCUAAAUAGGGGCAUUAAAAUAUUUCUCGCAUAUCCUUCUCAAAUUAAACAAAAUCGCAACAUCUGAAAAUUUUUACAGAAAACCAUGAAACAUAUCGAUUAGAUAGAUGUAACAAGAUGGAAUAUGGUAUAUGCAACAUAUAGGUUCCGAAAAGCAGAUGAAAUAUUAUGUAAUGAUUCUUGAAACAGUCAAGAAAAAUAGAUGUAACAUCUAAAAUUAAGAAAAGAAGCUUUAUGCAAAUUGCAAAAAGCUGAAACAAGUGGUUGAAACAUUUCAAAUCACCAAAUGCCACAUUUGAAAUGACCAGAUGAAACAUCACGAAAUCAAUUGCAACAGUUGAAGAUGAAAACAUUCAAAUGCCUUGCCUUUCUCCAAAUUUGACCCUCCAAGCAUGAGUCCAGCCAUUUGCACAUUAGACCCUUGGGAGGAGCUCACCGGAGAACAACAAGACCGUGUUAUCCAACAAUUUUCAGAUCAAAUUGCAACAUAAAGAACAAAGCAUUGCAACAUCUGGCAUCACGAGCUACAACAGCAACCAGUUAGGAUCAGGAGAAAGAGGGCAAACACAAGCCUAACAAUGAGUUAUAUCCGGUUUAAACAAGGAUAAAAAUGAGUGUAUUUUACACUCAUCAUGUUGUCUUUUCGCAGCUGUACCGCCUUUAGCGUGUUGUAUUGUUCCUAACACCAAGUCUCCGAGGCCCGAAAAAAUAAGGAAAGUGGUAGCAGCUCAGAAAUCGACUAAGUUUCUUUCCCCCUUUGGCUUUCCUACUAGGAUUCGGAAUCCUCUUUCGUAUGACAAUCUUAAUGAUCUCCCAUAGUCCAAAACUCACAAAAACAUCAAAAAUCCACCGAGAAUAAAUUAAGUAAAAAAACAUGCACACACAGAUAAUAAUAGUAAUCAUGUUUCAUUAUGAUUGCUAAGGUCAGACACAAUACAUAAACAUAUUAGACUGAGUGACCCACCUCACCUCAGAGUAUGCACCAUGUCUGAGUGACCCACCUCACCUUGCCAGGACACUGGUCCUGCCCUCGUGGUUCACGCGCCCUCGUGGUUCAGCAGUGGUCAGUACACAAAUCUAGCUGCCAGUCGGAUCCAAGGGCAGGCAUUUGCAUUGUGGUUGUGUUUGAACAUGGAGAUGUCAUUAUUAUUGUCAGGCACCAUACAUCCUCUCUCAGUUUCACUCCGCCUCACACACGGAUAGCACACCAGGGACCCGACACCAUGCAUGCCGAUUUCAUAUUAUUAAUAUUUAAUUUUUUUAAUGGUUGUUGAAACUAUAUUGUUGAUAUUUUUAUACAUAAUUUACGACCUAAUUUGGAUAUAUUUUUGAAAUAUUCCGAAAUCUUAAAUUCACACGUCUAGAGAUACAGUUAGUCCAAUCUGAUGUUUCCGAUUAUAAAAAUGAACAUAAAGAGAUAGGAAGCGAGAGACGUGAGGGGGAAAGUUAAAUUAGGGCCUAAGGGGUGAAGUUAGGGUUCCAGGUGAGCUGUCAUCACUACGUGUUUUUAAUCGAAAUUGGAAUGUCAGCAAUCGUCAGAUCUUGAGCCAACAGUUGAGACUGCCUCGGAAUGGUAAUUAGGUCUGCGCGAGCUUGCAUUGUGGCCUUCCUUGAAACCUUGGACAUAGGUGUUAUAUUAUUAUGUUCUUGCCAGCACACAGCAGUGAAGGACGACACAGUUGAGAUGUGCAUCACAUUUUCUAUAUGAAGGAUAUGUUUAGCAAACCUAAGAUUUUAGAAUAAAAAGAAAAAUCAUGGGAGCCAAAGCGCCACAUAGUUCUUCCAGGUAAAAAAAAAUCAUCCACUGGACCAGCACAUAGUAACGAUCCAAAAAGUCCAUAUUAAGAUUUUUUGAUAGCAGAAAAAACAUAAAAUGUCUAAUAUUUGUAGUAUUAAAAGGAAAAAUAAUAUAUUCACGUGACCUUUUUCCCGUAGCAAGGCACCGGUACGUGGUCAGACUUAAUGCACGAUGCCUAAGCAUCCAUUGGGCCUACCCUCGUGUGGAUCACGCGCAACAGGACACGGCUCACAAGCUAUGAUGUGCAGCAGUCGCUCAGAUGGCUGAAAGGUACCCUUAAUUUGAAUGGUACCAUAUAUAUAUAUAUAUAUAUAUAUAUAGUAAACAAGACAAACCACCGUUGAUACUACUUUGCACUACUUGAUACAUAUAUCUCCACCAAAAGCGAGGCACGUGGGGAGGAGAGAUAUGUGGUUGAUGGUGCGGGCACGUGGCGAGUGCACCGUACGAAAAUUUUGCUCGUGUCGGACGACUGAUGUGAAGCAUUACCCAAUCUUAAUUAUCUCCCAUAAUCCAAAACUCACAAAAACAUCAAAAAUCCGCCGAGAAUAAAUUAAGUAAACCAUGCACACACAGAUAAUAAAAUUGCUAAUAAGGCCAGAGACAAUACAUAAACAUAUUAGACUGUUCAUGACACAUAUCACGGUGGAUAGUGUCUGUGUCCUUAUUACAAGCAAUGAGAGAUGCUUGUCACCACACACACGCGCACAGAUGCACAACAUACAUAUAGUUGAGACCAACAGAUGGAUCAACUAGAGGUCACCCCAUAUGGUGAACAAUUUAUUGGAGAUAAACAUUAACAUAACUUGGCCAUAGCUUGAAGCAUAGCAACAUAUGCCUAUGAACGGCGUUCAUGCUAUCAUUUUAGGCUUGUCCGCUUCUUCCAUCUUAGCAAGCACUUCCAUUUCUACCAUCUUAGAAGCAACUGUCAAAUUGAGAUAUGGAAAUCCCAUUAGCGCAUGAGUUAAUUUUGCAGUGAAAAUAGAGUACAAGAUAUCUUCAUGAUGUAAGUAACAUGCCUGAAGUUGUGAGAUGGGAAGUGAAGUCAACAAAUUACAUUAACGGAAAUGCAUGGAAGGCCACACAUACGUAUUAGUCCAUGAUAUGCUACAAAGCUUGUAUGUACAUAUAGCAAAUUAAAUGCAUUAAUUGAAUAGAGUGAGUUUAGUGAAUUUACCAGAAUCGUCCAGAAAACAUGGGAAACAGCAAGUGUUCUUGCAGACUGCGUCGGUGCCACCCACAGCAAUACAACCAAAACAACAUGCUUUUGCCCGAGCGGCUGCGCAGCAGCCGCACUCUGCCGCGGUGGCCGAGUUAGCAUUGAGGCUCAAGAUGACCAGGCACAUGAUCACCAUCAAAGCGGUGGUAGUCCUCUUUCCCUCCAUUGCCUCCUCUUGCUGCUACCUUCCUUGGUUACCUAGCUAAGUUUAUUGGUUUUGUGUUGAGAGGUGAUUCUUGCAUUGAAUGGACGUUGCCGCGGCUGCAAUUUAUAGGCAGCUGCGCUAUGUGAUGAUAUGGACAAGGUGCAAAUGGGUGGUCCUGAUAUGGAUAAGGUGCAUGCGAAUGGCUGUCUACUUGUAUAGUGGCGCUCCAAUGUACAUACGUAUGUAUCUUAUGCAUGUAUACAGUUGAUGGAUGUACAUGUUUGUUGCACAAAUUAUUCUGAACCAACUCUUCAUAACAGGUCUUUGUUACCAAGUAAUUUUACUUUUGCACGUUUCAGCCGAGAGGCAGAAGAGAAUAUUUUACAGAGAGGGCAGAGAAGGAGGUUGGCGGAGGCGCCGUGGUAGGGUUCCCCGUGUCGCCAAGAUUUUUGCAUUUUAGAUGUGUGUAUUGAUCACUUCGUCGUGCUCGCGGGGCCCAACUCCAGGUUGUACCCCAGCAGACCACGUUCUGUUUCUCUGCCUCCAAUGAGCAUGCAUGCCUCCACAAGGACCACAAGACUUAGUAAAAAAGCUAAACUUUGCAACACGAUGUAUACAGAACGUUUUGAAAUGUACUCUCGUUAGGCAUUCACCUCCUUAACAAUCACUGCGACUGUAAAAGAGGUACAUCGACGCUAGCUAAAUAAACCACUAUAAGAUUUAGCAAGAGAUCAUUUUAUACAAUCCUGUAACGAAACAAUUUGACAAUUAUAGUGUCCAUAUAUUUUGACAAAAAAACGUUUAAAUUAUAUAAGGAGGUGGGCCCGAAAACGGUUGGAUUACAUCGAGAACGUUUUGAAACAGUUGGCGGAGCAGGAUUCUGGCGUGGAGCAUCUACAUUGUCGCGCGCGCGGACUGCCGGAGUAGGCACGCUCGACUUGUCCCAUCGCCAGCUAAAUGAUUUAGUACCGGAUGGUCUCUAGUACCGGUUGGAGCUACCGUCCACCAGGAGCUUUUCUAGUUUGGAACUGGUACUAAUGCUAAUAUUAGUAUCAGGUCAAAAACAAUCGGUACUAAGGCUAGGGAUGACACGUCAUUUUUCUAGUAGUGUGUGCAAUUGGUUUUGUAAUUAGUCUAUAUUUAAUACUUCUAAUUAGUAUCUACACAUUUUAUGUGACAGGGACUGAACUUUAGUCCGUGGAACCAAACACCCCAUAAGUAUGUUUGGUGCUGUAAGGAUUUCGGUUUUAUUUAAUUUCCUAGGCAUUUAAAUUUCUUUCUAAAAUAAGUUAAUGAAUCAUAGGAUCUCAUUGUUGUAUUCAAGCUGGUGCAUUGAUUUUGCCUAUAAAACCCGCCGCGGUCUUCGCAGCCCCCAUCAAACCCUAGCGCCCUUGCCACAAGCUCAGCACCGCUGCCGCCCGAGCUCGAGCACUAGCACCCACCCAUCGCCGUUGCCUUCCCGUCGAUGGGAUCACCGCCCGGAGCUUCGCAUCGUGGUAAGGAAGCCGCCCGUGAAGAUCCCAUGUGCUCCUAUGCCCUCUACCGCGUCCCCGAGUUCCCGGAGUUGCUAGUCUCCCACCGAGCCGACUCUCCGAGCUUCACGUCACUGGUGCCGCUCCGAAGACCUAGUUCGGUUCGCCAUGCACCUCGCUUCAUCCUGAGCUAAACCCCAUAAUGAAUGGUGGUCGGAUGCUCGCCGCCACGGCGCGUCGUCUUUUCUGUCGCCCGUGCAUUGCCUAUCCCCUUCCAGCCGAUUGCAGCUGUCCGAUCGCAAACCGGUGGCCCUGAUCGGAUACCAAGGUCAAUACCGGUCGAACCGAGCCGUGCGCUGCUUUUGCAAGAAGGCCCCUGUUUUUCUCUCUUUUUGCACCUGAGGUCCUACGCAGUUCAAAAGUAAUAAGAUCUAGGUCCUUUUUCUUUUGUUUUAGCCCGUGUUCUUUUAUAAAAUCCCGCCCACUAUUCUGUUUGGUCUUUUGACGCGUUAGACCUUCUUUUUAUAUGUUUAAUUAGGUUUUAGGUCUCGAUUUCUUUAAGUUUAGCCCUUGAAAGUUUAGUUCUCUCGCAGUUAAGCCCCUGAACCUUGUUUAGCUCAUAUCUUAAGCGUUUUAAAUCCGUUUUAACAGAUUCUUGCGCCUAUAAGUUCAUGUUGACGCAUAGAUUAGUUGACUUAUACGAACCUUGCUGAUUCAGCUCCUUGAUUGUGCUUCAGAUCUCGCUAGGGAAGAAUAAUGGAUGGGCUUUGGUUGAGCUUGUAGAUCGACUUGCAGUUGCAGUGAAUGAGCAGAGGAUUGGCAGUGAAUAAGAUCAGGCCGCUGCCCUGCUUGGUAGGGAAAAUAUCUGCUUGCUACCAAGGCCUGUGACGCAUGGACCCCAUUGAGAGUGCAUUAUUGACAAGGACUUAAAGCCAAGGGCUCCACACCUGUCAUUGAUCAGCUGUCUGCUGGGCGCUGCAAGGAGGUAGUGCAUGUUUGACAUAAAGAAGCAGGUGGCCCAGGAUUUACGAAAAAUAAGGAUCUAUUUGAUACCCUUGCUUAUAUUUAGGGGCUAAAAGUUGCUUAUUUGAAGUUGCUUAUUUUUAAUCCUAGCUGUUUGAUUGCAUGGGCUAAAGAGCAUUGAAUGAGGUGGAUAUUGUCAUGUUUGCCUCUAAUGAUUGCUUCCCAUCACAUUUCUCCCCCCUCAUUCAACGAGGGAAGGAGGUGUAAAGUGCACCUUUUAGCCCCGAUAAGUAACCCUUGUGUUGUUUACGGGCUGAACAUAAGUAGCUAAAGUUUAGCUCCAAUAAACAAGAGUGUUUGGUAUUUUUGGGGUUAAAAGGGGCUAAACUUUAGCUGCUUAUGCAUAAGCAAGGCCAUCCAAAUAGGCCCUAAGUAUGUUUGGCGUUGUAAGUAGGUUUUAUUUAAUUUCCUAGGCAUUUAAAUUUCUUUCUAAAAUAAGUUAAUGAAUCAUAGGAGUUCAUUGUUGCAUUCACGCUGGUGCAUUGAUUUUGCCUACAAAACCUGCUGCCGUUUCCGCAGCUCCCAUCAAACCCUAGCACCCCCGCCACGAGCUCCAGCGCCGCUGCCGCCCGAGCUUGAGCACUAGCGCACACCCAUCGCCGUCGCCUUCCUAUCAAUGGGAUCACCGCCCGGAGCCCGUGUCAUGGUAAAGAAGCCGCCCGUGAAGAUCCCGUCCACUCUCGUGCCCUCUACCGCGUCCUCGAGUUCACCGGAGUUGCCAGUCUGCCACCCAGCCGCCUCUCCGAGCUUCAUGUUGUCGUUGCCACUCUAGCUGCCUCUCUGAAGACCUAGAUCGGUUUGCCGUGCACCCCGCUUCAUCCUGAGUUAAACCCCAUCAUGCCACGUCAUAGUAAGGAAGCUGCUCAUGAAGAUCCCGUGCGCUCCCGUGCCCUCUACCGCGUCCCCAAGUUCACUGGAGUUGCUAGUCCACCACCGAGCCGCCUCUCCGAGCUUCACUUCACAGUCGCUGCUCCAGCCACCACUCUGAAGACCUAGAUCAGUUCGCUGUGCACCCCACCUCAUCCUGAGCUAAACCCCAUGACGAACUGUGGUCGGAUGCUCAUUUUCGAGUGAAUUCCGGCGAGAUGGUCGCCCGCCGCCGCCAUCUCCAUCGCCCAUGCACCGCCUGUCCCCUUCCAGCCGAUGUCCGAUUGCAAACCGAUAGCCGAAAUCGGAUGUGGUCACCAGGAUUAAUACCAGUCAAACUAAGCCACGCGUGCCGCUUUUGCAAGAAGGCCCCUAUUUUUCCCUCUUUUUGCACUUGAGGUCCUAUGCAGUUCAAAAGUAAUUAGAUCAAGGUCCUUUUUCUUAUGUUUUAGCCCUAUUCUUUCAUAAAAUCCCGGCUGCCAUCCUGUUUGAAAUAGAUACGGUUAUAGAUAUGCAAACAUCUGCAUAUUUCCAACCGUAUCUCUUUCGAACGGGAGACGCCUAACUAGGUUACGUGACAUACGAACAUCAUACGGAUAGAGAGGGGUAGGAUGUCUCACCUUGCUAUCCUACAAAGUGACGACUCGAGGACAGUAAUGUAGCCUCUCCUUCAAAAAAAGAACAUACUACUAUCAAGUUAAAUUUUUGACAGCACCUCCCCUGCACGUGGAGGUUUCCAUAACCUGCAUCAAAUAAAACGGCACGAUGGCUGACAACCACAUCUACAGCACCAGAAUGGCACGAUGGCCGACUUCCACAUAAAGUUCUUAUACCUUAGAUUGCCAAGUCAAACAUCCUUUUCUAAUUUCUAAAACAAAAGCCCUCCCACCUCUCUAUCUUAUACUUUCCUAUUUACUAAUUGCUUUUGUAAUUUCUAAUUUCUAUUUCAUCCUACCACCUCUGUACCCUUUUCUCAUUUCUAAUUCCAAUUUUCUAACUUGAAGAGCAAAGAUUGAUUACUAGGAGGGGUGAGGGACGCCGGCCUAGAGAGGCGAGGGGACGUCCGGCGGCGGCGGGUGCGUCGGGGGUAGGAUGCCAGGGGCGGCUGCAGGGGCGCCGGGUUGGGGGCGGCCGGGAUCGAGGGCACCAGUAGCGGGGGCACCGGGCCGGGGGCGGCCGGCGGGGCGGGACGCCAGGGCCGGGGCGACGGGCGCCGGUGGCGAGGCCGCCCGGCCGGUGGUGGCCGGCGUGGCGCCUGGGCCGGGGGGGGGGGGCGGGCGGGGUGCGGCGCGGCGCGCCGGGGCAGGGCGCCGAGGCUGGGUGGUGGGGUACGGGGCGGCGGGCGGGGGGUGGGGGGAGGGUCGGCGGCGGGGCGCGGGGGCGGCCAGCGGCGACGGCGGAGGGCGUCGGUGGUGUUUCGGAAGUGAUACGGAGGGGGUAGAGAGAUUCGUUUUCGCGGCUGAGUGUUCGAGUCAGAAGGCCGUGCGGCUUAAGUCAGGUGGUUUGCCGAGUGCGCGCGAUCUGGCACUCGGCAAAGUCAGAAGUUUUGCCGAGUGUCAGAUCGCGGGCACUCGGCAACUGCAGCUUUUGUCGAGUGCCCUGGAUUCGGCACUCGGCAAAGUGAAGUUUUAAUUUUUUUUAAAAAAAUUUAAUCGGAACACGGGCGUGCCAGCGGGCCCGUGACAUACUUUGCCGAGUGUGUAGCAAAAACACUCGGCAAAAUAUUAUCUUUACCGAGUGUUUUCGCUAGGCACUCGGCAAAGUACACUUAUAUUUCAUGUACACUUUUUCAAUAACGUGUUUUACUAACCUUUUUCUGAUAUACUUGGGAAAAACCUUAUCAAAUUCACUCAACAAUGGAUAUAUGGUUUUUCUACUGACAUUAUUCCAUUAUUUCAUUCAGUUAUAGCUCAAAUUGAAUUUAUAUCUAUUAAAAAUCAAUAAUUGCAUUUAAUAAAUAAAAAAUACCAAACGGAUCUGAAAAAUUUCCAAAAUUUGACAUGAACCAAUCUAUGUUGUAUGUUGCCUGUACAAAAAGCUUUGAAGUCAAACCCCAAUUCAAGUGUCACUUGGACUCCAAAUCUUAUCGGAUCCUUUCUAACUUCUAUGAAUCCUUUCGGGAGAUGAGUCGGUUUGUAAGCAUCAUAUGUCAUAAAUUGGGCGAAACCUUCUCAAUUUUUUACCACAGCCUCCACAUAUAAUAUCAUGACACCUUGACAAAUCUUGUGAUUUUCAGACUUCGUUUGCUUUUUUUAGAAUUUAACAACCAUUCAACCACAUGUUCGUGAUCGUGUUUUCUAAAAAAAUGUUCAAAAUUUCUUUUCAUUUCCUGGUUGAGACCUCAAUCCGGAUUGAAUAAUAUGAAUAUGAUUUUUUCACUGAUUUUAAUCCAUUAUUUAAAUCACUUGCAGUUAAAUUUGACUUAAAUAAACAAAUUCCUAUUAAUGCUAUCAAUUCAUUAAAAAUAGCAAACAGAGAAAAAAUAGACCAACUUUUAAGAUGGAUUACCAAAUGUCAUAUGUGGGGAGUAGAAAAAGUGUGGAGAGCAGAGGUGGAAAAAAAAGUUUUGCCUUUGCCAAGUGCCUACACAAACACUCAACAAACUUUGCGGAGUGCCUAUUGAAAACACUCAGCGAACUUCUGAGUUUGCCGAGUGUCUGGAGGGAGCACUCGGCAACCUACUUAUUUGCCGAGUGUCCGCGUCGGACACUCAGCAAAGUACUAACGGCUGGCACACUCCCCUAACGGACGGCGCACGUGCAAGCCAUGUGCUGGAGAUUUAUCGAGUGUCAAAUCGUUGCCGAGUGUCGUGUGGAUGUUUGCCGAGUGUCUUAUUUGUGACACUCGGCAAAGCUAUUGUUUGCCGAGUGUAUUAUUUAUGCCGAGUGUCUUCCAGUAUACACUCGGCAAAUGAUGUCUUUGCCGAGUGCUCGACAUAAAGCACUCGGCAAAAAUUUUACACUCGGCAACAUUCCUGUUUCCGGUAGUGAGUGACCCGGGACUAAAGACCCCCGUUGUCUCUGAUUGCUUUAUUCCGGAUGGAUUUUCAGGAGAUUUGCUCCCUACCAAUAGGGACUAAAGGCAAGUUUUCCACUUAUAGCAAACCAGUUAGCCCAUUGUUGAUGGAACGCAUCACUAGAAACAGCUCGGGAUCCACUUGUCCAAUAAUCGAGAGGGCCUAUAUAUGGACCACGUGUGCGGAUCCCUAAUUAGGAAAAAAGAAUAAUGGAGUAGGACAUCUCCAUGCUCACCUAGUAGCCGCUGCUAGCUUGUGCGUGUGGAACACGAGUGCCGGCCCAGUUGGCGCUAAGACAUCGUACGUGCAUUAAGGCUACGAUCUCUUUCUUCUAACUCAUGCUUGUGCUAUUAUACAUUAUUGCAUGAUCAUCAAGAUAAGAUCGUAUAGUGACUGAGUGAGACAUGUAUGUACUAACAUGCAUUUAAGCCUCGAACUGUGUGUUGUUACGUGAGCUGCCUCCUCACCUCGCCUCUGAAUUAUUGAACCGUUUCCAACAGUGUUGGUCUCAAAUAAAUUUGACACCAAACAGAUUUAUGAAGAAGAGAGAAUAAUACUUGGAAUUGGAAAAAGUUUAUCUCUCUUUACAAUGGAGUAGGGCUCCCUUUUAUAGUGACCCAUAAGCCACUUUACAUUUGGAAAAUGUCCUUCCUCAACCACUACAUUAAUUCCUAGGAUAUGCUGUACAUAAAGGUCAUUUGAGGUAACGUGUACAAAUGAACUCUUCCACAUGGUCACGUUUCUCAUGCCUCCUGUUUUCCAACCUCGAGACAUCAUCUUCACGCCAAGUUGAUCAUCUAGCCUCGAGGCUCCAUCCACGAUCCAGAAUGAACGUCCAGGCUUGAGGCUCCUUCUUCGUUAAGCUUUGUUGAGAACUCAUAACCUCACAUAGUUCUCCUCCGAGUAUUGUUCCCGACUCAGAACACUCGAGGUUUAGCUCAGUUGGAGUUUAGCUAUUACUGUUGCUAGUCACCAGCCUCGAGCCCCUCCAGAAGCAAGGUGAUGCGAGGGUACGAGUUUUACUAUUAAAGGUGUUUCCAUAGAAUGUGCGAGGUUAAAGCACUUGCAGCAAAAGCGUGGAGCUGCUUUCAACCAGAGUGCAAUAAUGCAGCCGUGCCCAUCUUGGUCUUGGUCUCCGCCUGAACUAUAGCAGAUGCUGGCAGCGGUAGCAGGGUGGUCCAUUAUAUCUAUGGAUGGCAAUGGUCGGAUUCGGAUGGAAUCGAAUUCGAAUAGCACUUUUUACCACAUACUAAUUCAAAUCCGAAUUCGGAUUCGGAUGUUCUCGAAUGCGAAUGCAAAAUGGAUGGUUCGAAUUCGAAUACUUAGCGGAUUUUUGCAUAAUAUUAAUCGAAUAGAAUUCAUUAAAUUUAGCCAAGAAAUUAAAUUUUCUGAAAUUAAAUACUUUCCCUUCGCCCCAGCGGCGGCCUAACUCCCAGGACGGUGGCGUGCGGGGCCCGAGCAUCCCUGGCCUCUAGUGGCGUGGCGGGGCGGCAUCCAGCAGCAGCGGCGGGGCUCGGCCUCCGGUGGCGCGCGGCCAGCCCGACCUACCCGGUCAGAGGUGGCGCAGCGGUGCGCGGGCCUCCCCGACCAGAGCCGGUGGGGAGCGGUGCGCGGGGAGGACCUCCCCAGCCGGAGGUAGCAGGGCGCGACCUCCCCGGCCGGAGGUGGCUCCCUGUGGGGGCGCGGCCGUGACAGCUAGCGAGGCAAUAAUUGCUUCCGUACGCAGCAAUAAUUGCUUGUGCGACACCGUGUUAUUACUCUGGUACAGUACUCCCUCCGUUGCAGUACACUGGUCCAGGCGUCAGGACACUGCUCCUGCCCUCGUGGUUCACGUGCAUCAGGCCAGCAGACAAGCUAUGAUGUUGCCAACAGUGUUUGUUUGAACAUGGAGAUGUCAUUGUGAUUGUCAGGGACCCGACACCAUGCAUGCCGAUUUCAUAUUCUUAAUAUUUAUUUUUUUAAUGGUUGUUGAAACUAUAUAGUUACUCCAAUAUCACGUUUCCGAUUAUAAAAAUUAACAUAAAGAGAUCGGAAGGGAGAGCCCGCAUAAUGAAGCCGACGCGUAUAAUAAGCACUAGAGCCGGCAUUUAUACAAACGGGUACGCAUAGUAAAAACUAGAAUUUAUAAAUAAAUGAAGAUAUUCAAAUAUCUGGCUUACUUUUUUCAUUAAUUUUGCAUGAAUAAGGGAUGAUUCAUUAAUCAUUAUUGAACAAAUUGGCACACAUGCUUCGUGCCCGCGUUGUGAGCAUUAUGCGAUGCCACUGAGCUGCACCACCACGGUAGAGGGCCUGUUUGCGAUGCCACCGAGCUGCACCACCACGGCAGAGGGUCUGUUUGGGAAGGGGAAGUUAAAGUUUAACACCCCCCAUUUAACACCUUUUUAACAAAAUGGCUGCUAAACACUUGUGUUAAAAGAGUAGUGUUAAAAUUUAACACCUCUCUUUUCAUAAACACAUGGAGGGGGUGUUAAAAUUUGCUAAAUGUGUUAAAAGUGGUCCCCUCCCCACUUAUUCCUUGGUUGCCCCCCUCUCUCUCCUCCUCUCUCUCCUACCCGCCGCAUUUAAGAGCAUUAUUGAGGGGUAAUGCAGUCCUUUUCCAACAAAAGUGUUAAACUUUAACAACCCUUCCCAAACAUGCCACAAGCAACACCACCGGCUGACUGUGCUAGCGGGGAGCACCCUCACCGCCUGCCCGUGGGGACUUCUUCUGCCGGCCAUCGUGUCUUUGUAGGACCGCCGCGUGAGCCUAUGAGCCACCGGUGGCCGUGCGCCCAAGGGCCAUCACCAUGCCACCUGAGGAUGCUGUCUACCCGGUGCCGCGUGCCUCUGCUAGCUGCUUGCACCUGGGCCGCCGCUGGUCGCCUGCACAGCCACGCGUUACAGCCGCCCCCCUGCGCUGGGCCACCCCAUUUCGUGUUGGAAGAACUGCCACAGUCUCGCGCACUGGGGUUUUGCUAGUGACGACCAUAGCCUCCAAGAUCAAAUGAAAAAGUUGGUACUCAAAACAUACAUCCAUUAAUCUAGUCGUGCUAAUCCUUACCACCAAAUAAAAACUAGCAUGUGUUGUGUUUUUGUGACCCUAAACGAUCACAAAUGAAUAACUUAUGGGCGUUGCUAGCCUAUAAGUUAUGGGCGUUUGUGACCCUAGUCGCGCCGGGGUCUUGCUGGUGACAACCAUGGUCUUCGCGAUAAAGUAUUAAGUCUCAUCGAGUUCUACAAUUUUGAUAUAAAAUUUCUAUUCAUCCGAGAUCAAAUGAAAAACAAAUGAAAAAAUCCGAAGUAUUAGGCUUCAUCGAGCUCUACAAUUUUGAUAUAAAAUUUCUAUUCAUCCGAGAUCAAAUGAAAAAAUCCGAGAUCAAAUGAAAAGUUGGAACUCAAAACAUACAUCCAUUAAUCUUGAUAUAAAAUUUCUAUUCAUCCGACAUCAAAUGAAAAAGUUGGUACUCAAAAUAUACAUCCUUUAAUCUAGUCGUGCUAAUCCUUACCACCAAAUAAAAAAACUAGCAUGUGUUGUGUGUUUCUGACCGUAAACGAUCACAAAUGAAUAACUUAUGGGUGUUGCUAGCGUCCCGGACGCUAGCAUCGGACGCAUGAGCAGCCGUCCGAUCGGGUCCGACACCACUUCACGAUCUGUCUUAAAAAAAAGUCCCACCGAAACAUUGUUCCAUGUUGCAUGAAAUACCCCACUAUCCAUCGCCAGGUCUACAGCAAGCACCACCUUCCAAUCUGCUGCUCACCCAAGCUAAAUAGGGGCAUUAAAAUUGCAGAAAUAUGUCACAUAUCCUUGUCAAAUUAAACUAAAUCGCAACAUCCGAAAAUUUCUUACACAAAACCAUGAAACAUAUCGAUUAGAUAGGUGUAACAAGAUGGAAUAUGGUAUCCAACAUAUAGAUUCCGAAAAACAGAUGAAACAUUAUGUAACGAUUGUUGAAACAGUCGAGAAAUAUAGAUGUAACGAUUAAAAUUUAGAAAAGAAGCUUUAUGCAAAUUGCAAAAAGCUGAAAUAAGUGGUUGAAACAUUUCGAAUCACCAAAUGCCACAUUUGAAAUGGCUACAUGAAACAUCACGAAAUCAAUUGCAACAGUUGAAGAUGAAAACAUUCAAAUGCCUUGCCUUUCUCCAGAUUUGACCCUCCAAGCAUGAGUCCAGCCAUUUGCACAUUAGACCCUUGGGAGGAGCUCACCGGAGAACAACAAGACCGUGUUCUCCAACAAUUUUCUGAUCAAAUUGCAACAGACAAAACAAAGCAUUGCAACAUCUGGCAUCACGAGCUACAACAUCAACAAGUUAGGAUCAGGAGAAAGAGGGAAAACACAAGCCUAACAACCCCAAGACAAAACUGAUGUACUCAUCAUACAUCACGGCUUGCCGUGCACAGAGAUGAAGGCCGCCAAGCUCAAUCGAGACAGAGACGACGUGAUAGUGCUCCAGAUCGACGGUCCCCAUCAAUUGUUGCGUACACUGCCAAAAGCAAUGGAAGAAGAAGGGUCGUCCCUGCUCGACCUCCGUAGAUGAGCGCAGAUUGGGGGAAACCGUAUAGAGUGCCGCUGACAGCACAGGCGAGGGGGCUCAGGCUUGAUUCAGGGUGAGGGUAGCGGGUAGCAUGAGGAGACAGUCAGGUUUCAUAGGAGAGAGGCGGAGUAGAGAGCUCUGGUGACUCGGUGAGGAGGGUGCGGCACGGAGAAAGGUGUGUAGCUGAAGGAGCUACAUGGUUGGGGCGAGGCGAGCGUAGAGACUAGAGAGGGAAAAAAAGCAUGGGGAGGAGACGAUAUGUGGUUGAUGGUGCGGGCACGUGGUGAGCGCACCGUAUGAAAAUUUUGCUCGCGUCGGAUGACUGAUGUGAAGCAUUACCCAAUCUUAAUUAUCUCCCAUAAUCCAAAACUCACAAAAACAUCAAAAAUCCGCCGAGAAUAAAUUAAGUAAACCAUGCACACACAGAUAAUAAAAUUGCUAAUAAGGCCAGAGAUAAUACAUGAACAUAUUAGACUGUUCAUGACACAUAUCACGGUGGAUAGUGUCUGUGUCCUUAUUACAAGCAAUGAGAGAUGCUUGUCACCACACACACGCGCACAGAUGCAUGACAUACAUAUAGUUGAGACCAACAGAUGGAUCAACUAGAGGUCACCCCAUAUGGUGAACAAUUUAUUGGAGAUAAACAUUAACAUAACUUGGCCAUAGCUUGAAGCAUAGCAACAUAUGCCUAUGAAUGGCGUUCAUGCUAUCGUUUUAGGCUUGUCCAGCUUCUUUCAUCUUAGCAAGCACUUCCAUUUCUACCAUCUUAGCAGCAACUGUCAAAUUGAGAUAUGGAAAUCCCAUUAGCGCAUGAUUAAUUUUGCAGUGGAAAUAGAGUGCAAGAUAUCUUCAUGAUGUAAAUAACAUGCCUGAAGUUGUGAGAUGGGAAGUGAAGUCAACAAAUUACAUUAACGGAAAUGCAUGGAAGGCCACACAUACGUAUUAGUCCAUAAUACGCUACAAAGCUUGUAUGUACAUAUAGCAAAUUAAAUGCAUUAAUUGAAUAGAGUGAGUUUAGUGAAUUUACCAGAAUCGUCCAGAAAACAUGGGAAACAGCAAGUGUGCUUGCAGACUGUGUCGGAGCCACCCACACGAAUACAAAGCUGACAACAUGCUUGUGCCUCGUGGGAUACGCAGCAGCCGCACUGUGCCGCGGUGGCCGAGUUAACAUUGAGGCUCAAGAUGAACAGGCACAUGAUCACCAUCAAAGUGGUAGUCCUCUUUCCCUCCAUUGCCUCCUGUCGCUGCUACCUUCCUUGGUUACUAGUAAGUUUAUUGGUUUUGUGUUGAGAG